rnacentral:rRNA from 1 species
UACGAAGGGGGGCUAGCGUUGCUCGGAAUCACUGGGCGUAAAGCGCACGUAGGCGGACUCUUAAGUCAGGGGUGAAAUCCUGGAGCUCAACUCCAGAACUGCCUUUGAUACUGGAUGGCUUGAAUCCGGGAGAGGGAUGCAGAAUUCCAGGUGUAGCGGUGAAAUGCGUAGAUAUCUGGAGGAAUACCGGUGGCGAAGGCGGCAUCCUGGACCGGCAUUGACGCUGAGGAGCGAAAGCCAGGGGAGCAAACGGG